rnacentral:rRNA from 1 species
UACGAAGGGGGCUAGCGUUGCUCGGAAUCAAUGGGCGUACAGCGCACGUAGGCGGAUUGCUAAGUCAGGGGUGAAAUCCUGGAGCUCAACUCCAGAACUGCCUUUGAUACUGGAAAUCUCUAGUCCGGAAGAGGUGAGUGGAACUGCGAGUGUAGAGGUGAAAUUCGUAGAUAUUCGCAAGAACACCAGUGGCGAAGGCGGCUCACUGGUCCGGCACUGACGCUGAGGCGCGAAAGCCAGGGGAGCGAACGGG